rnacentral:rRNA from 1 species
UCAAAAACAUGUCUCUAUGAAAAUUAAUAUAAAGUCUAACCUGCCCACUGAGUUUUUGAAGGGCUGCGGUAAUUUGACCGUGCAAAGGUAGCAUAAUAAGUAGUCUUUUAAUUGAAGGCUUGUAUGAACGGUUGGAUGAGGGAAAAGCUGUCUCUCUGGCAAUCUAAAAUUUGACUUUUAAGUGAAAAGGCUUAAAUAAAAUAGUGGGACGAUAAGACCCUAUAAAACUUUACAUGUGGUACGCUUUUUUUUAAAAUUUUAAUUAAACUUUGGAAAGUGUUCUUCAUGUUUUGUUGGGGAGACAUUGAUAUAAUUUGUAACUGUCUAAAUAAAACAUAUAAUAAUCAUUAGAAUUUGAUCCUUCUUUGUGGAUAAAAAGAAUAAGUUACUUUAGGGAUAACAGCGUAAUUUUUUCUGAGAGUUCUUAUCGAAGAAAGUAGUUGCGACCUCGAUGUUGAAUUAAAACUUCAGGCAGGUGUAGCCGCUUGCUGGGUAGGUCUGUUCGACCUUUAAAGUUUUACAUGAUUUGAGUUCAAACCCGUGUGAGCCAGGUUG